UGACAAGCUACUAAGGGCAAUCGGUGGAUGUCUUGGCACCAAGAGCCGAUGAAGGA
rnacentral:rRNA from 1 species